rnacentral:rRNA from 1 species
GGCGGACGGGUGAGGAAUACAUCGGAAUCUACUCUGUCGUGGGGGAUAACGUAGGGAAACUUACGCUAAUACCGCAUACGACCUACGGGUGAAAGCAGGGGAUCUUCGGACCUUGCGCGAUUGAAUGAGCCGAUGUCGGAUUAGCUAGUUGGCGGGGUAAAGGCCCACCAAGGCGACGAUCCGUAGCUGGUCUGAGAGGAUGAUCAGCCACACUGGAACUGAGACACGGUCCAGACUCCUACGGGAGGCAGCAGUA